UACGGGGGGGGUAAGCGUUGUUCGGAAUUACUGGGCGUAAAGGGUCUGUAGGUGGCUUGCUAAGUCAGACGUGAAAUCCCUCAGCUUAACUGGGGAACUGCGUCUGAGACUGGCGAGCUUGAGUGCAGGAGAGGAACGCGGAAUUCCAGGUGUAGCGGUGAAAUGCGUAGAUAUCUGGAGGAACACCGGUGGCGAAGGCGGCGUUCUGGACUGCAACUGACACUGAGGCGCGAAAGCUAGGGGAGCAAACGGG
rnacentral:rRNA from 1 species